GGUUAAGCGACUAAGCGUACACGGUGGAUGCCUAGGCAAUCAGAGGCGAUGAAGGACGUGCUAAUCUGCGAAAAGCGUCGGUAAGGUGAUAUGAACCGUUAUAACCGACGAUAUCCGAAUGGGGAAACCCAGUGCAAUUCGUUGCACUAUCGUUUGAUGAAUACAUAGUCAAACGAGGCGAACCGAGGGAACUGAAACAUCUCAGUACCUCGAGGAAAAGAAAUCAACCGAGAUUCCCCUAGUAGCGGCGAGCGAACGGGGAGCAGCCCAGAGUCUUAAUCAGCAUUAGCAUCAGGAGAACAGUCUGGAAAGGCUGGCAGUAAAGGGUGAUAGCCCCGUAUCCGAAGGUGUUAGUGUUGUGAACUCGACGAGUAGGGCGGGACACGUGUUAUCCUGUCUGAAUAUGGGGGGACCAUCCUCCAAGGCUAAAUACUCCUGAUUGACCGAUAGUGAACCAGUACCGUGAGGGAAAGGCGAAAAGAACCCCGGCGAGGGGAGUGAAAUAGAACCUGAAACCGUGUACGUACAAGCAGUGGGAGCACCCUUCGGGGUGUGACUGCGUACCUUUUGUAUAAUGGGUCAGCGACUUAUAUUCUGUAGCAAGGUUAACCGAAUAGGGGAGCCGUAGGGAAACCGAGUCUUAACUGGGCGAAUGAGUUGCAGGGUAUAGACCCGAAACCCGGUGAUCUAGCCAUGGGCAGGUUGAAGGUUGGGUAACACUAACUGGAGGACCGAACCGACUAAUGUUGAAAAAUUAGCGGAUGACUUGUGGCUGGGGGUGAAAGGCCAAUCAAACCGGGAGAUAGCUGGUUCUCCCCGAAAGCUAUUUAGGUAGCGCCUCGUGAACUCAUCUUCGGGGGUAGAGCACUGUUUCGACUAGGGGGUCAUCCCGACUUACCAACUCGAUGCAAACUACGAAUACCGAAGAAUGUUAUCACGGGAGACACACGGCGGGUGCUAACGUUCGUCGUGAAGAGGGAAACAACCCAGACCGCCAGCUAAGGUCCCAAAGUCAUAGUUAAGUGGGAAACGAAGUGGGAAGGCUCAGACAGCCAGGAUGUUGGCUUAGAAGCAGCCAUCAUUUAAAGAAAGCGUAAUAGCUCACUGGUCGAGUCGGCCUGCGCGGAAGAUGUAACGGGGCUAAACUAUGCACCGAAGCUGCGGCAGCGAUAUUUAGAUAUUGUUGGGUAGGGGAGCGUUCUGUAAGCCUGUGAAGGUGUACUGUGAGGUAUGCUGGAGGUAUCAGAAGUGCGAAUGCUGACAUAAGUAACGAUAAUGCGGGUGAAAAACCCGCACGCCGGAAGACCAAGGGUUCCUGUCCAACGUUAAUCGGGGCAGGGUGAGUCGACCCCUAAGGCGAGGCAGAAAUGCGUAGUCGAUGGGAAACGGGUUAAUAUUCCCGUACUGGUGAUAAUUGCGAUGGGGGGACGGAGAAGGUUAGGCUAGCCGGGCGACGGUUGUCCCGGUUUAAGGAUGUAGGCAGGUGAAUUAGGCAAAUCCGGUUCACUAUAUGCUGAGGUCUGAUGACGAGCCACUACGGUGGUGAAGUAGCUCAUACCCCGCUUCCAGGAAAAGCCUCUAAGCUCUAGAUUAUCAUUAAUCGUACCCCAAACCGACACAGGUGGUCAGGUAGAGAAUACUCAGGCGCUUGAGAGAACUCGGGUGAAGGAACUAGGCAAAAUGGUGCCGUAACUUCGGGAGAAGGCACGCUGGCGCUAGGUGAAGUGGUUUACCCAUGGAGCUGAAGCCAGUCGCAGAUACCAGCUGGCUGCAACUGUUUAUUAAAAACACAGCACUGUGCAAACACGAAAGUGGACGUAUACGGUGUGACGCCUGCCCGGUGCUGGAAGGUUAAUUGAUGGGGUUAUCCGUAAGGAGAAGCUCUUGAUCGAAGCCCCAGUAAACGGCGGCCGUAACUAUAACGGUCCUAAGGUAGCGAAAUUCCUUGUCGGGUAAGUUCCGACCUGCACGAAUGGCGUAAUGAUGGCCAGGCUGUCUCCACCCGAGACUCAGUGAAAUUGAACUCGCUGUGAAGAUGCAGUGUACCCGCGGCAAGACGGAAAGACCCCGUGAACCUUUACUAUAGCUUGACACUGAACAUUGAGCCUUGAUGUGUAGGAUAGGUGGGAGGCUUCGAAGCGUGGACGCCAGUCUGCGUGGAGCCAACCUUGAAAUACCACCCUUUAAUGUUUGAUGUUCUAACGUUGCCCCGUAAUCCGGGGUGCGGACAGUGUCUGGUGGGUAGUUUGACUGGGGCGGUCUCCUCCCAAAGAGUAACGGAGGAGCACGAAGGUUGGCUAAGCAUGGUCGGACAUCAUGCGGUUAGUGCAAAGGCAUAAGCCAGCUUGACUGCGAGAGUGACGGCUCGAGCAGGUACGAAAGUAGGUCUUAGUGAUCCGGUGGUUCUGAAUGGAAGGGCCAUCGCUCAACGGAUAAAAGGUACUCCGGGGAUAACAGGCUGAUACCGCCCAAGAGUUCAUAUCGACGGCGGUGUUUGGCACCUCGAUGUCGGCUCAUCACAUCCUGGGGCUGAAGUAGGUCCCAAGGGUACGGCUGUUCGCCGUUUAAAGUGGUACGCGAGCUGGGUUUAGAACGUCGUGAGACAGUUCGGUCCCUAUCUGCCGUGGGCGUUGGAAGAUUGAAAGGGGCUGCUCCUAGUACGAGAGGACCGGAGUGGACGCACCACUGGUGUUCGGGUUGUCAUGCCAAUGGCAUUGCCCGGUAGCUAAGUGCGGAAAAGAUAACCGCUGAAAGCAUCUAAGCGGGAAACUUGCCUUGAGAUGAGUCUUCCCUGACCCUUUAAGGGUCCUAAAGGAACGUUUAAGACUAAGACGUUGAUAGGUUGGGUGUGUAAGCGUAGCGAUACGUUGAGCUAACCAAUACUAAUGAACCGUGAGGCUUAACCUG
rnacentral:rRNA from 1 species